rnacentral:lncRNA from 1 species
AGUUAUUAGAGAUGAGUUAAAAAAAUCUCUCACAAUUGGGGAAAAAAUAAACAGGGGGGAGGGGGUAAUAAUUCAGGGGGGCUAAUAAUUCUGACUUCAACUGUAUUAACAGUGCUAUUGGACACAAAUGAAGAAAGGUAUACUGUACAGUAAAAAAAUGCAUACAGCACAAAAACAGCAUUACAUAAUAUGGAUGUCAAUGUCUGCUGGUUUUCAACAUUCGUCAGAAUAUCUUCUUUUGUUUUCAACAAAAGAAAGACAUCCAUAUUUUAGAACCAGCUGAGUGUGAGGCAACGAUGAGGAAAGUUAAAUUUUUGGGUGAACCAUCCCUUUUUAAUACAAAAAAAAAAAAAAAAAAAAAAAAAACUCAUCUUUAUUUUUUUCUACUACUGUGUUUUUACUUAGGCCUAUUGAUCUGAUAACAACGUCUCCUUUUCUCUUCAUAUCUCUUUACUUCUUAUAUCUAAAAGUAAGGCAAAUCAAGAGCCAUAUAGUGGACUGCUAAUAGUAUUACUUCCGUUUUGCUAUUGAACCCCAUUUAUUGUCUCAGAGGUCUCACACCUCGUUUGUUAUUAUGUAGGCUUGCUGAAUUGUUUUUUUCGCGUUCACGCAACGACAAGCAGAGCAUGUAAAUCAGGGCGAGAUCCUCCGAUUAAACACGUUUCUGAUCAUUGUUAAGCGAUAGCAGCACAUCUGGAGUGAAGUGCAGGAAUCAGCGACUGUGUGUGUCAAACUUCAACCUCGCGAUUUAACACGAGCUGCUAAUGAGUCGUAGAGUGUUAUUGUGAAAUUGCAUUAAACGCCACGACAUGCAAGAGGAUAAUUGAGUAACACAGCGGCAAACUGCGGUUGUGCUCUGUUUUUUAACAAUAAACAAGGAAUGGAGCAAUAUAAACAGCAUUUGGAUUAAGUUAAUGGCAGUCACAGCGCUCUGGGGCUCUGGAGGUAUUUCAGAAAAAUCAGAGAAAUCAAUCCAACAUGAAACUGAAGGAAAACAUCUAAUGUCAUUGAGCAAUAACUCGCUCCUGCUCUCCUGUCAACGUGGAACCUUAGAGCGAGAGCCUAGGACAUCGACUUGCAUUUGA